rnacentral:rRNA from 1 species
GAUGAACGCUAGCGGGAGGCCUAACACAUGCAAGCCGAGCGGUAUUUGUUCUUCGGAACAGAGAGAGCGGCGCACGGGUGCGGAACACGUGUGCAACCUGCCUUUAUCUGGGGGAUAGCCUUUCGAAAGGAAGAUUAAUACCCCAUAAUAUAUUGAGUGGCAUCACUUGAUAUUGAAAACUCCGGUGGAUAGAGAUGGGCACGCGCAAGAUUAGAUAGUUGGUGAGGUAACGGCUCGCCAAGUCAAUGAUCUUUAGGGGGCCUGAGAGGGUGAUCCCCCACACUGGUACUGAGACACGGACCAGACUCCUACGGGAGGCAGCAGUGAGGAAUAUUGGACAAUGGGUUAGCGCCUGAUCCAGCCAUCCCGCGUGAAGGACGACGGCCCUAUGGGUUGUAAACUUCUUUUGUAUAGGGAUAAACCUACUCUCGUGAGAGUAGCUGAAGGUACUAUACGAAUAAGCACCGGCUAACUCCGUG